GCCGGGUUCCCCCACCUCCGCCGCUAUCACCACUGAACCCGGACGCCCUACCCAAGUCCAGGGCCAGCCGCCAUGACGAACGUGUACUCCUUGGAUGGGAUUCUGGUGUUUGGUUUGCUCUUUGUUUGCACCUGUGCCUACUUCAAGAAAGUACCUCGUCUCAAAACCUGGCUGCUAUCAGAGAAGAAGGGUGUUUGGGGUGUGUUUUACAAAGGUGAGGCCAUGUCUGGACAGGGAGAAGAGAUUGCCAUCUCUGGACAGUGUGGAGCUACAAAGUAGGGAGUACAGUGAGCUGGGAUUGUAUUUGGUUUCAUUUUUAGAAAAAAAUCCCUCAGAUUGGGUCUGAGAGUCUGGAAAAUUAAUCGUUCUCCAAAGUUGAGGGAAGAGGUAAAAGUUAAAAUUUGCUGGGUGUGGUGGCUCAUGCCUAUAAUCUCAGCACUUUGGCGGGCCAAGGCAGGAGGAUUGCUUGUGUCCAGGAAUUGUAGAUCAGCCUGGGCAACACAGUGAGACCCCAUUUCUACAAAAUAUACAAAAAUUAGCCAGGUAUGGUGGCACGUGCCUGUAGUCCCAGCUACUCAGGAGACCGAGGUGGGAGGAUUGCUUGAGCCUAGGAGGUUGAGGCUGCAGUGAGCCAUGGCGGAGCCACUGCACUCCAGCCCAGGUGACAGGGUGAGACCCUGUCUCAAAAAAAAAAAAAAUUUUUAUUUAAAAACAUAAUUGUCUAUUUUAGCAUCCAGAUGAUUUUUGUAUUCUCCAUGGAGUAAAAGUAUACACAUGAAAUCAUUUUAGGCUGGGGUGGAAUUCCUCCCUUCAGUGGGAAAAAGAUUUUUCUACAGAAAAUUUUUCUUGAUUUUCUGUAAAUGGUACAUUGGAGUCUGUUUUAAGGUUUGAUUUAAUUAACUCAGAUGCUUUUUUUUACUUUUUAUUUGAGGCACAUUCAUUUGGAAUCCUAUCUACCUAAAUUUUUUUUG
rnacentral:sRNA from 1 species